rnacentral:rRNA from 1 species
AGUUAAGUGACUAAGCGUGCACGGUGGAUGCCUAGGCGGUAGAAGGCGAUGAAGGACGUGAAAGCCUGCGAUAAGCUCCGGUGAGGUGGCAAAUAACCUUUGACCCGGAGAUUUCCGAAUGGGAAAACCCAUCCUAUAUGGAUAUCCUCUUAUGAGGAAGCUAACCCGGAGAACUGAAACAUCUAAGUACCCGGAGGAAAAGAAAUCAACCGAGAUUCCCCUAGUAGUGGCGAGCGAACGGGGACCAGCCCUUAAUGGGGGGACCACCCUCCAAGGCUAAAUACUCUCUACCGACCGAUAGUGAACCAGUACCGUGAGGGAAAGGCGAAAAGAACCCCGGAAGGGGAGUGAAAUAGAACCUGAAACCGUGUACGUACAAGCAGUGGGAGCACCUUCGUGGUGUGACUGCGUACCUUUUGUAUAAUGGGUCAGCGACUUACUGUAUGUUGCGAGGUUAACCGAAUAGGGGAGCCGUAGGGAAACCGAGUCUUAAAUGGGCGACUAGUAGCAUGCAGUAGACCCGAAACCGGGCGAUCUAUCCAUGGCCAGGUUGAAGGUGCCGUAACAGGUACUGGAGGACCGAACCCACAAAUGUUGAAAAAUUUGGGGAUGAGCUGUGGAUCGGAGUGAAAGGCUAAUCAAGCUCGGAGAUAGCUGGUUCUCCUCGAAAACUAUUUAGGUAGUGCCUCAUGUCUCACUCUUGGGGGUAGAGCACUGUUAUGGUCUAGCGGUCCGUCAAGGAUUAGCAGCCCAUUGCAAACUCCGAAUACCAAGAAGUGCAAUCAUGGGAGACAGACGGCGGGUGCUAACGUCCGUCGUCAAGAGGGAAACAACCCAGACCGCCAGCUAAGGUCCCUAAACACUGCUCAGUGGGAAAGGAUGUGGGAAGGCUCAGACAGUCAGGAGGUUGGCUUAGAAGCAGCCACCCUUUAAAGAAAGCGUAAUAGCUCACUGAUCGAGUCGGCCUGCGCCGAAGAUUUAACGGGGCUAAGCAGUGUACCGAAGCUGCGGAUGCACAUAGUGCAUGGUAGAGGAGCGUCGUGUAAGCCUGUGAAGGUGAACUGGAAAGUUUGCUGGAGGUAUCACGAGUGCGAAUGCUGACAUGAGUAGCGAUAAAGGGAGUGAAAAGCUCCCUCGCCGAAAGACCAAGGGUUCCUACGCAACGUUAAUCGACGUAGGGUUAGUCGACCCCUAAGGCGAGGCCGAAAGGCGUAGUCGAUGGGAAACAGGUUAAUAUUCCUGUACUUUUUAUUACUGCGAUGGAGGGACGGAGAAGGCUAGGUCAGCUUGCCGUUGGUUGUGCAAGUUUAAGGUCGUAGGCAGAGUGUUUAGGCAAAUCCGGACACUCAAUGCUGAGAACUGAUGACGAGUCCAUUAGGACGAAGUGAUUGAUGCCAUGCUUCCAAGAAAAGCUUCUAAGCUUCAGGUAAUAAAGAAUCGUACCCCAAACCGACACAGGUGGUCAGGAUGAGUAUUCCAAGGCGCUUGAGAGAACUCGGGUGAAGGAACUAGGCAAAAUGGUACCGUAACUUCGGGAGAAGGUACGCCCCUUAAUGUGAAGGACUUGCUCCGUAAGCAUCUGGGGGUUGCAAUAAAAUGGUGGCUGCAACUGUUUACUAAAAACAUAGCACUCUGCAAAAUCGAAAGAUGACGUAUAGGGUGUGACGCCUGCCCGGUGCCGGAAGGUUAAUUGAUGGGGUUAGCGUAAGCGAAGCUCUUGAUCGAAGCCCCGGUAAACGGCGGCCGUAACUAUAACGGUCCUAAGGUAGCGAAAUUCCUUGUCGGGUAAGUUCCGACCUGCACGAAUGGCGUAA